GGCGCAGUGGCAGAGGGGUAAUGCUCGAGGUCAGGGGGCCCGUACUGAUCUCUGUCCUUCGGGAGUCGUCUGUUCGAAUCAGACCUGGGCCG